GCGCGGCGGCGGCGGCGGCGACUCGCUGCUGCUCUCCUCCCCUGCUUUGACCACCAUCUUAUUAGUACAGGAAAUGACAUGGAAAACGGAAGAAAGCGGCGUUUGGGGCAGACGCGGACCCCCCAAUUCAGGGGCCGGAGCCGGGACUCAGCAGCCGCGUCCCAACCCGGCCCCGGAGAGAAGUCCCGGGGCCCCCCUCGGCCCCCGCCCCGCGCGCCGGCCCGGAGGGGGGAACCUGGCUCCUCGAGCCCACACGGACACGGCGAGUUUUAUAAUCCAGCCCGCGGAGAAGCCGAGAGAAAAAAAUAAUGAAAUAAAUGAAAAAAGAAAAGGUUAAAAGAACUUUCGAACUGGGACACUUUUUUUCUUUCUUUUUUUUUUUUUUUUUUUNGGAAUUAAAAGUUCUAGAAUUUUAAAAAGUCAUCCCGUGGGGGGGCGGGGGGGCUCCCUGGCUCUCCUGGCCCCGAGGCUGCCCGCGCUGAACAGGAUGGUCCCGGGGCGUGACGGCGUCGAUAAUUUUAACCCUUUCGGGACACCCCGCCCGGCGCAGCGGGCCCCCGCCGGGUCCCUUUUAACCCUUUGAAUGCCCAGCGGUUUGGAGACACGAACUAAAGUUGUAAAGCGGGGGACCCGCUGUGAGCCGAGGGACUGCGGGGGCGGGGGGGGUCGCUCGAAAUGUUCACCGUUUCCGUGGGGCUGCGGUUCCCAGUGGGAAAGCUCAUUCGCACGUGAGCUUCACAUCGAAAUUCGUUGGAGGCUUUGAGAUUCCGAGAAUCGGGCCCGGCUGGUCCCCGGCCGACUUGGGAAAGACGUUUGUGGAAGCCGCGCGCAGUGGCUCGGUUCCUCAGUUUCUCCAUCUGUGAAUGGGAUUCAGUGUCGCGGAGACACCAGGACUGGGAAGGCCACGCGGAGCAGAGGGGUCUUGACAGAUGAAGGGACCAGGCCCGCCAAGAGCUGAGAAGAGUUGCCCAUGGAGGGGUCCGAAGCAGGACCUUGCUGAGGUGGCAGCAGGGCCUUGGGAGACUGGUAAAAGCAGAGAAGGGGGAGACUUUGAACUGAGGGCUAGCUGUGGAGCCUUGUUCCCAAAUUCGAGAAUCUGGGCAAAUCCCUGCAUCGCAGGGGACUUCGUCUGUACCCUCUAUCUAUCCCUAAGUCUCUGUCUCCUCAUCCCUAAAUUGGGUUGGGAAUGUUGCAUUCAAUCAUAA
rnacentral:lncRNA from 1 species